GACAGAGGUGCCGAGCGUUAGGCGGAAUCACUGGGCUUAAAGCGUGUGUAGGCGGGUCGUUAAGUACCUUGUGAAAUCCCACGGCUUAACCGAGGAACUGCGCUCAAAACUACCGUACUUGAGGAAGAUAGAGGUGAGCGGAACUUACGGUGGAGCGGUGAAAUGCGUUGAUAUCCAAUGGGAACUCCGGUGGCGAAGGCGACUUGCUGGACCCUUCUGAACGCUGAGGCUCGAAAG
rnacentral:rRNA from 1 species